GAUCACUAUUGACGACGCUUGGAGAAUGUUGCAAACGCAAUCUCCCGGGCACCGGGCCAAAUGACCAAUUUACAUGCACCCGCUGAAAUUCUUACAGAGACAGUAGGUGGAGGCAACAAUGGUCACCAUUGACGACGCUUGGAGAAUGUUAGAAGGCACCUGCUACCUCGCCUCCAGGAGCAAAGAAGUUUGCUAGUGUGCAUCUCAGUACACCUUAAAGUGUUAGAAAGCUUUGGUACCGAGGUAAGAGAUAAUAGGGUGAAGGUCACAAGCAUGGUGGACAGUGACAAAAUUAUUCCCAAUUUCACCUAAUAAAAGCACUAUUUCUGUGAUCCAAAGGUAACAGUUAUGAGUGCCUUUCAGCCAGUAGGUAGAUUUGUACGAAAGUAUUUAUUGAGUCAACAAGAUAUACUGACAGGAUGCCACAAACUUCAUCUGCAAUUGCCACUGAAGAUUCCUGUAUCAUGGUUUGCUUGACGAUGGAUCCCACAAACCUUGUCAGCAACCUUGUCGGCAAUUGCAACCGAAGACUCUCAUAAUGAUCUACAAGAUGAAGGCUUUCAGUUGUCCAGGCCAGGCCAGGUGACCGAUGACAAUGAUAGAUCGGGUUCGAUUCAAGCUGUACGCUUGGUGUAUUUGGUUAUCGUGACUGGCGACUUGAGUCUAUCUCAUCUCAUUUCCAAAGCGCGGUGGCUGGGUCCCAGGCAUGCUUGCCACUUUGUUCCACGGUCCUCAUCUAAGUUUCGACGGUGAUGACAUGGACUUAGGUUCAAGGUACGUGUUCCCCUUGAGUCAUCGUGGUUGAUUGAUGGGGGCAAUAAGAGUUGCGUGUCGCUAGUCAUUCAAUUGGUCCCCUUGUUUUAGAGUGUUGGCGGGAUAAGUCUUACGACUGUUAACAAUAGUAAGCAAUAGCUGGCCAGCGAUCCCCUACCUGAUCUCGAGGGGGAUGGAAUGACUGGGGUUUAAGUCCUGUUGUUAACCUGCGGAAUUUCGUCGGACGAAAUGUCAGGCGUGUCCGUGUGGGACUUGUGCUAAACCAGUUUAGUACAUAUGACGAAGACAUUGGGCUCUUUGGAUAACAACAGUGUACUAGACCUCCUUGUGCUUCACAAAACUAUAAAUAUGCCCGCUGAAAUUGACAUGACGGAGUAGAAGAAGGAGAGCCGGCCUCAGCUUGUCAGCCGAGAAGAGCAGAGAAGACACUGGACCCCAAGAAUACAGUGUUGCAGCCAAACCAGAAGAACCAGCCAGAUGGAAGGGACAAAGGAUACAAGGGACACAGGAUGCAACGGACACAGGAUACAAGGGACAAGGGAUACAAAUGACGACACUGCAACCCACAAUCCUUAUGCAGAUGACGGCUGUCAGGUAGACCCAACCACUCGACCACGCCAUAGCAAGAUCAACUCUCGAAGAUCCAGAAAUCCACUGAGUGACCAACCACAGGGUGACUGAGUGAUGUCGCAGAGAAGCCAACCACUCUCUGAUGGAGGUGUAAAGGAUAGAGGUUGCAAGCAUUGUCUUGCACGGAUGAGGGCAGUGGAUCGAGAGUCGAGUGGAUUCAGUGGAUCCAGAGUCGAGUGGAUUCAGUGGAUCGAAUGGUGGCACUGAGGGAUAUCGAAGGGGCAGGAGUGACAAACCAGUCUUUACCGACCGAUUCAUGCAGAACUUUUGCUAAGAUCGGGAACAUUUGUGCUGUGUGUAUGGAGAGGACAAUUGAAACACUGUCCGAAACUCUAAUAGACUAAUGACAAUAUCACUCGAAAGGGACUCGAUAUGAACUUUCAAAAGAUACGGAUAGAGCCCUGCUCAAUACGCAAUAUGACACGAUAUCCAGGAGCUACCGUGAAGACAGCCUCAUAACUAUGGAGGGAUGCCACCCAAAGCAUGGUGAAGCAUCCCACGGAGGAGAGAAGGAUGUCGUGGACCAAGGACAUCCCCUCCGGUUGUCAUCAACUGACAGUUUGAUGACGGUUUGAUGGUGUUUUUGUCAUCGUAGGCCUCAUCCUUAAUUAGCGUUUUAUUGAAAUAUCUGAUUGAAAGGUGAUUUAAUGAAAAUCCUAAUAUUUUCUGUUGGUGAGAAGGUAAAUAUUUACCUUCUUUAUGGCCAUGACUUAGUGGCACAGCAGGUAUAGAAGUGUCAGGUUGCAGGGGUGAGUGAGUAUGGGUAAGUGGUCAGGACUCUUACAUUUUCCCAUGACCACGGUUCAAGAUCUUACACUCAUUAGGAGAAGGAAUCGAAAAAAGGGUGAAUUCAGGGAAGGGGUUGUUUGUGGCUACCAGGGGAGCCAAAAGACCAGGGCACAUCAGGGCUCUUCUGCUUGAAAUAUUUUUCAAGCAAAACUUGAGUUUUCUGCUUAAACAUCACCAAAAAAUCAUCAGAUAUUUCAUGUAAUUAUGUCCAUCAUUUUUGACAUGGGGUUCAUGUGUUGUUGUUUCUUCGACCCCAGGAAACAACAAUAACACAUGUGUCUGAUGGAAUCGUAGGCCUUUUAUAAAUGUUGCUCAAUCUCUUCAGUACCACAGAAACCGCUGACAUUUAAACUCCCAAGGUCUAGGAUCCGAUGCCCCGGACCCAUGAUCAAACUUCCUGGCUCAGUUUCUCAGCACUUUCACCUUCGUGCUCGAGACAACUGACCGACAACAAUGGUGAAUUGUAUUUCUUCGUUUAUAAUUCACAAAUACCCGUUAAAACCCGGGUAUCAAAAAGGUCAUGAAAGACCAAAACAUUUUUACAAUUAAUUGAAAACAGGAAAGAGUUUGAUACUCUCUCGGUUUUAUUGAAAUUUACCAGAAUAUCAAAAUUUGUUUGAGUUUGACAGACCAGACUGGUUCCUGAUCCUACCCUGGUGGUCUCACAGGAACAAAUAUUUGUCUUUACUUCAUUUUGAUUCAAAAAGGCCUUUCACUGCAAGGACAUUAUCAUGUUCUGCAGGUUCUAGGUUCUAAAAAACGCUUUUUCGCCACGUAAAGAAUGGACUUGGUACUUAAAGAAAUUGAGCAAAUUGUAUCUUAAAAGCAUCAACUUUUUGAUGUUUUUAAAAGUUUUGUCCUGUAUGCAUAUACUUGUAAAUUCUGCUAUGUAAAAUGAAAGUUUUGUGAAAUGUCUAUAUGAGAUCUUGACUCUUACAAAAAAAUCCGGCAAACCACUUUUAGUCUUUGCCAUGUCAAGGCCACCUCUUUUAUCAUGCAAAUACAUGUCAGAACUGCUCCUUUUGUCAUGCAAAGCAGCAGCCUCUGUCCAGCGGCCAUCAGAAAUGUGGUCCUUUUGUUAUUCGAAUAGGGUCCUGAACCAAUUGACUGCAGUGACCAAACCUAUUGUGAGCUCACUCAGCCAAACUGAAGGCUUUAACAAUAGGAUUUAACACAAUAGAUAAUCCAUGUUGAAUGUACAGUACACAAUACAUCCUUUGUGGUAUGGUUGAGCAGUCGAGUCAAACCAUUUAAGAUCUCAAUUUAGCAUUGUGUUUCAUGAGACACAAUCAGUGUUUCAUUGUUACAUCUUGUAAAGGAGUUGAACAUGUUUUAAAGGGAUAGUGCUCCUAUCUCCUGAUUCUCCUCCUAUAUUGGACUUUCGGAGUGGUACUACUACAUUGACUAUGAUCGAUUUAAUGUACAUGUAUGAAGUCAUUAGCUCAGCUGUCACCUGUGUGACGGACGAGUUGGCGACUCCCUCCGAUUGCGUAAGUUUUCCCUCGGUACGCGGGUUUCCUCCUACACAGUAUUUCAAGUCUCCAUGUGUUAUCCUUGGAGUUUAGAACAAUAAAGAAUUUGAAAAU